UGUGCACUUAAAGAGACUGAGGUUGAAUUGCCUGCGAAUGCUCGUGAAUGGGGGAGGUGUUUAAAUAUUAUACUCCCCCCCCCCAUUUCAUGCAUUUGCUUGCAGGCCAAAGAUCUGUGUGAAUCAUUACCACUGGCACGAGAGAACCCCCAUGUGGUGGGGGAGGGAAGUGGCGGGGUCUUGAGAAUUUCCCCCUUGUGGCAAGAAUUGGGAGAAGAUGGUCUUUUUCUCUAGCUAAUUCCCACCCCACCCCGGCAAUAAUUUUCUUGGAAAGGAUUAGUUCCAUUUGUGAACGCUUCCCCCCAACCACCUCCCCACCCCAAGAAGGAACAUGAGUUUGUUUCAAGAUAACACCGAAAAAUAAUCAACGGUCAGAGACCCUCCCCAAAUGCAUAAACUUUAACCUUCCCUGUGCACAACAUGCAAUAGUGUUCUUGGAAGACCCGGAAAUAUGGAUCUGUUGACUGGGGCAUGGUUUAUACACUUCAAUUAUAGGUGCUCAUCUAGUUUUAAGUACAGAUCCAGAAGAUGGAUGUAUCUUGCAUUCAAGACCAUAUUUUUUAGAGGGCUCAAUCUCUACCUUAAAGAUUGAGGAUGAAACUGUAGCUCCAGAUUGCAUCAGCAGAAGUGAAGCAGUGAGGACUAUGCUUUGGAUUGGAGACAUCACCUUGCCAACAAAGGUCCGUAUAGUAAAAGCUAUGGUUUUCCCAGUAGUGAUGUAUGGAAGUGAGAGCUGGAUCACAAAGAAGGCUGAUUGCCGAAGAAUUGAUGCUUUUGAAUUAUGGUGUUGGAGGAGACUCUUGAGAGUCCCAUGGACUGCAAGAAGAUCAAACCUAUCCAUUCUGAAGGAAAUCAGCCCUGAGUGCUCCCUGGAAGGACAGAUCCUGAAGCUGAGGCUCCAAUACUUUGGCCACCUCAUGAGAAGAGAAGACUCCCUGGAAAAGACCCUGAUGUUGGGAAAGAUGGAGGGCACAAGGAGAAGGGGAUGACAGAGGACGAGAUGGUUGGAUAGUGUUCUCGAAGCUACCAGCAUGAGUUUGACCAAACUGUGGGAGGCAGUGGAAGGCAGAAGUGCCUGGCGUGCUCUGGUCCAUGGGGUCACGAAUAGUCGGACACGACUAAACAACAACAACAACAAAGUUUUUGUCUGUAUAAUUCUAAACACCAUAUCAUGGGUUCCCUGGUGGUCUCCAUCUGGGCACCUUAGCAGACCCACCAAGUGUUGCUAUUUUCAAGAGACAGCCCCAGAUUUACAAAAGCCAUUGUGACACCUCCCUCUGCUGGCUCACUGGUCACCAGAGUGCUAAAAGGUCUGGUGAGCUCCUAUGGUUGGAUCAUUUUGCGUUUGUUACAGGAAGAAGAUAGACAUGUAAGGAGGAUUUCUCUCAGCAUCUGCAUUCUGUGAUAAUAGUGAAUUCAUCUUGAGCAUAGAGGCGUUAGAGAGUACUAACUGUGAGUUCCAUUUCUCUUUCUUUUUUAGACUUUCAAGGCUCAGAAAAGUCUUCUCCUGUUCUGGGAAGAAAAAAUAAAAUUUCUCUUCUCCCAGAGUCCUCUCCCUUGCCCACCGCCUCCGCCUUUGGACCCCUCUUUCAGAGGACUGCUGUUGUAAACAAAAUCUGCCCUUUUCCCCUUAUGGGAUAUCCCAGAGCCCGUAUAGAGUCCUUACGUGGGUUCCCUAUUGGUAGGAGAAAAUAACAGAGGCCAACCGGAGAAUAUUGAGAAGUAAAGCAGCUAGUAAGCCUGAUCUUUAUUAAAGCUAUUGCAACAGGAUGCUCCCCUCACAUGCAGGAGAAUGGAGAAGGACCCAGAACAAAGGUGUGCCUGUCCUUAUAUAGACAUUUUAAAUUCCCUGCCCUGGAGCUCAAGACCACCCCUCCAUACAUCAUACAUACAUCACAGAAGGAGAGUAACCCAAGACCACCCCUCACAAACAUCAUAACUACAUCAUAGAAAAGGUGGUCUACAGCAGAAAUUUGAAUGUUGUUGUUUGUCCUGUCUGCCAGGUUAUCUGAUAAUGCCUUAUCUGAUUGCCUUUACUGGUAAUCUGCCCAUUCCUUUGAAUUGGUGAUUACCCAAUUCCUGCCCUCCCUCCUUGCAGAGAAAACAUUUGGUCAGUUUGGGAGUCAAAAUGGUUUCAGGACAGUCUUCCUGUAUUGCUCCAGACAUGUGGCCCACGUAUCUAUGUUUGUGCUUGGUUGGUACAUUUAUGAACAUUUAUUAUAUAUAGUAAAGGUAAAGGGACCCCUGACCAUUAGGUCCAGUCUUUUUAUUACACUG